UGAGAGAACUCAGGAGAAGGAACUCGGCAAAUUGACACCGUAACUUCGGAAGAAGGUGUGCCUUUAGUAGGUGAACCUGUACAAGGGGAGCCCAAUGAGGUUGCAAAAAAUCGGUGGCUGCGACUGUUUAAUAAAAACACAGCACUCUGCAAACACGAAAGUGGACGUAUAGGGUGUGACGCCUGCCCGGUGCUGGAAGAUUAAAUGAUGGGGUGCAAGCUCUUGAUUGAAGUCCCAGUAAACGGCGGCCGUAACAAUAACGGUCCUAAGGUAGCGAAAUUCCUUGUCGGGUAAGUUCCGACCUGCACGAAUGGCGUAACGAUGGCCACACUGUCUCCUCCUGAGACUCAGCGAAGUUGAAAUGUUUGUGAUGAUGCAAUCUCCCCGCGGAAAGACGGAAAGACCCCAUGAACCUUUACUGUAGCUUUGUAUUGGACUUUGAAUAGAUCUGUGUAGGAUAGGUGGGAGGCUUUGAAGUGUGGUCGCUAGAUCGCAUGGAGCCAACGUUGAAAUACCACCCUGGUGUGUUUGAGGUUCUAACCUAGGCCCGUAAUCCGGGUCGGGGACAGUGCAUGGUAGGCAGUUUGACUGGGGCGGUCUCCUCCCAAAGCGUAACGGAGGAGUUCGAAGGUACGCUAGGUACGGUCGGACAUCGUGCUAAUAGUGCAAUGGCAUAAGCGUGCUUAACUGCGAGACUGACAAGUCGAGCAGAUGCGAAAGCAGGACAUAGUGAUCCGGUGGUUCUGUAUGGAAGGGCCAUCGCUCAACGGAUAAAAGGUACUCUGGGGAUAACAGGCUGAUACCGCCCAAGAGUUCAUAUCGACGGCGGUGUUUGGCACCUCGAUGUCGGCUCAUCUCAUCCUGGGGCUGUAGCCGGUCCCAAGGGUAUGGCUGUUCGCCAUUUAAAGAGGUACGUGAGCUGGGUUUAAAACGUCGUGAGACAGUUUGGUCCCUAUCUUCCGUGGGCGCUGCAGAUUUGAGGAAGCCUGCUCCUAGUACGAGAGGACCGGAGUGGACACACCUCUGGUGUAUCGGUUGUCACGCCAGUGGCAUUGCCGAGUAGCUAUGUGUGGAAGAGAUAACCGCUGAAAGCAUCUAAGCGGGAAACUCGUUUCAAGAUGAGAUCUGCCGGGGCCUUGAGCCCCCUAAAGAGUCGUUCAAGACCAGGACGUUGAUAGGUCGGGUGUGGAAGCGCAGUAAUGCGUUAAGCUAACCGAUACUAAUUGCUCGUGCGGCUUGAUCAA
rnacentral:rRNA from 1 species